rnacentral:lncRNA from 1 species
CUUCUGAAAAAAGCAACUAAUAGUCGUUAAGACUUUGGAGGCUGAAUUUUGGCUUUGCCUCUUAUUAGCUGUGCAACCUUGAGUAAAUCACUUACCCUCUCUAAGCUCAAUUUCUUGAGCUUAAAAACGGAGACAAUAUCACUUGCAUGUUAGGGUUGUUCUGUAUUAAUUGAAAUAACCUAUGCAAAUUGCUUAGGCCAGUGUUGGCCACAUAAUGAAGCACUUAAUUAGCAUAGCUAUUAUUAUUAUUUCUAGAAAUAGGAUUGCUGGCUUAAGUGUAUGUAAAAAUAUUGAUGCAUAUUGCCAAAGUUUAUUUUAAAUUUUGAAUAUAAAGUUGUGGGUCUCAUUAAUGAACAUAUUAUAGUAAGAGGUAAUAGGCAUGUCCACAAAUGCAAGAAGCUGCUCCUACUAUUCACUUGUUUGUUUUCUCUGUUCUGUCUUCUUCUUAUAACAGCACCUUGGUUUUCCUUUGGAGAAACACCUUGCUCCCAUUCUCAGUCCAUGUAGUUCAAUGGGGUUGAUCCCAUCCUCUGGCUUCAGAAGGGAGCAAAAGUAUAUGAGGUGGUCCUGGGUAAUAAAAAUAUCAUACCCGACUCCGCUCCUGGACACAGUGAUUGGCUCAGUAAUAGGCAUGUGACUUGAGCUGGGCCAAUGAGAACCCACUGUAGGAUGUUUACUGACUGAUUAGGAAACUGUCCUCAUCCUUUUACAUCCUUAGCAUCCUUAGGAGAUGCUAAUCUUGUUGACCAUCUUUGCUCCCAUACAGAAAAAUUCUUCUGGGGAAUAAAGCAUAGAGAAAUGAAGAGCUAAGAUACAGAGGAGCUUCCCAAGACCAUGUUUGAACAUUUGUAAACAGCCAUGCCUGGACUUCUGAGUUAAACGAGUCAGUAUAUUUCCUUUAUUGCUCAAAUCACUUUUUGUGUUGGGUCCUUUUUGAAAGGUGGCCAGAUCUGCCCAAUCAUAUUAUGCUCCUCAAGGACACACCCUGUGUGAGGAAUAAGCAGGGUUUCUACCAAGUCAACUGUCAGAGUGAUUUACCUUCCAUGAUAUUUCUGAAUGAUGGUAGACUCAAGUUAAUGUGAGUUAUGUGAUGCCUGUCUGUCAUUGGAUGAAGAUCUACACUGGACAGUUUCAGGUUUCUUUCUAAACCAUGACUGAAGCCAUAGAUUACCUGAUAACCAACCAUGGUUCUAUAAAUGUCUGUACGUGUCUAUAAAAGUCAAUGCAGAAAAUUAAAAAAGAAGUCUGGGUCGGGUGCGGUGGCUCAAGCCUGUAAUCCCAGCACUUUGGGAGGCCGAGGUGGGUGGAUCAUGAGGUCAGGAGAUCCAGACCAUCCUGGCUAACACGGCAAAACCACAUCUGUACUAAAAAAAAUACAAAAAAAUUAGCCGGGCAUGGUGGCGGGCGCCUGUAGUCCCAGCUACUCGGGAGGCUGAGGCAGAAGAAUGGCGUGAACCCAGGAGGUGGAGCUUGCAGUGAGCCGAGAUCGCGCCACUGCACUCCAUCCUGGGUGACAGAGGGAGACUCUGUCAAAGAAAGAAAGAAAGAAAGAAAAAAUCCGAAUGGGCUGUUAAAAUGAAAAUCUGCACACUGCAUCUAUUGGUACUAAUUUCAAAGACUUCUUUCCUGUAGGUUUGCAUUGCAAAACAUAAACAUUGCUUAUAUUUGAUUUUUUCAUUUGUCCAUAGUGAUUAUACAAAGGCUGAUACAGAGCACCCAUGUGGAGGGGUCACAGAAGGUAAAGCCAAAACAUAACAUGAAAACCAAAUAUGGCAGGGCUUUGAGCACCAGUACAAGGCAUUUGCAUGUGAUUCUUUGCAAAAUGGAGAGUUGUUAAAAGUUUUGAAUAAGGACGCUUCUAGAGGAUUAAUAGGGCAAUAAUAUGCAGAUGAGCAUAAAAGGGAAGAGACAGAUGCCUGUUAUUGGGCCAUUGCAAUAUUUCAGAAUGAGAUAAAGAAGUAGGGCAAUGGGAGUGAAAAGAAAAUGAUGGAUGGGAGAGACAUGGAGAAGGAGGAAUAAAUAAGAAGACUUGGCCUCCACAAGAAUAUGGGGCACCAACGGAGAGAGAAAAGUGAAAGAUGAGCAUACAGUGAUGUUUUAAAAAGUGAGUUUGGGAAACUGCUUUUGUUCAGUGGAGGAGCUUGCGGAGAAGAUAAUGAGUUUAGUUUUAUACGUAUUUGAGCCCUUUUCUGUUUGGCUGUCAGCUCUCCUAGAAGCUGAAUGUGGUAUGUAGAGUGGGAUGUAACCAUGAGGUUACCCUGGAACUCAGAAACUGCUAUAGCUAUAAAGAGAAGUAUGAAAAGUAACUUAAAGAACAACGACCUUUAUCCAUAGCCUGGCAUUGUCUUAACAUAUGUAAAGAAAAAAUGGCUUCUUUAGGAAUUGUUUGGUAGUGAAAUAAAGAAAAUGGUGAGUCAUGGAGACAAAAUUUGGCAGUUCAACAAGAGCACCAUUUAGUGGCAUGCUGCUUAGGUCUGGUGUGAUUGCCAGAUGUGGCCCAGUGUGUUGAUGGAUGGAUGCACCAGUCUAUUUUAACCUUAUGCCACUUCAUCAUUUGUUCUAAUUUUAUCCUAACCAAAUCUACCUUCUAAUUAUACUUUGGUUCCUCAUCUAGUUUCUAGGGCAGAAGAAAAAUUCCUUGUGAGUAGCAGAUCCCUUUACAUUGUUUGUUAUUAAAUUGUCACUUCUGAGUUUCCACAGUGUUGAGUCAUCACCCUCACCAUUUAUCCAACCCUGGGGUGCAGGCAAGACUGAAUUUCCCUCUUUAUAAGACUGUAGUCCAGUCUCUGCCUGGGGGUGACCUACCAGGUCAAGGGCUCCCUGCUAAGCCCGCAUGGUAGAUAGGUGACUGACCUUCCUCCUGAUAUGUUCUGGCUUUUCCAUGACCACUUCUGCUCUCUAACGCCAAACAUACCAGGCAACCACGCAUUCAACAACAAGGCCUCUAAUUUGCUAGGAGGGUUGUCACAGACUGCAAGGAUUAACAGCUAGAACAUUUUUCCACUUGGGGAACUUGAAGGCACCACACAAAUCCUAUUUACUUCAUUCACUCAUUUGUGUGUGUGUGUGUGUGUGUGUGUGUGUGUGUAAAAUCAUAAAGUUAUUCUUAAUCGCUAUAGGAAAAAAAAGAGAAACCAAACAAACAAACAAAAACUGUUAAUGUCCCUAUGCAGAGGCAAUAUGCACUUUGCCUGCAUAGUUUGCACUUUUGCCUAUUUCUUCCUAGGCAAUUUCAUUUCUACUUUAAAUUUAUAUGAAAUUUUAAAAGCUUUAUUAUCUGGUUCUCAAUACCACUGUAGAUUAGAAGUAGCAAUUUAGAGAAAGAGAAGAAAAAGAAAAGUCAUAAAAAGUAGAUAUAAUUUUUUAAAGUGAAGAGUGCUCUGGGGUCACACACAGCUCAGUAAUCCUGAGGUCAGUCACUGCAUUGUGACUGAUGUAAUAAUACAUUUAUAUCUUGAUGACCUCAAAUUGUCAUUAAAUGGUUAAAUUAAUUUUGGUAUAUAUCUUUUAAAAGUCAGAAAUACAAAAAAAUACACUUUUCAACUAUAUUGUUCAAACUGGUUAAAAAACAUAAGAAGUGAACCCUUAGCUGUCUAGAAAACCUAGCUACAGAGAAUUAUUCCUUUUCACUGGGUUACAAAUAAACAAGAUCCUAUAGUUAAAACUACUGGUUUCUUCCCAGUAUCCAUUCCACCAUUCUUCUGCUAUUUAGAAGCCAUGCUCUUGGUGGGACUGACCACACCUCUGGCUCCAGACAUAGGCUGUACUUGGCCUAAGCUACUCAUGAUAAUCACAUCUGCCUGCCAGAGUAACUAGUCCAGGAAUGAGCCUGUAGCCAUGCCGUACACCAACAGCUCAUAGCAUUUCUCUGAUCACAGGGAUCAUACAUCUGCAAAUUGGGGUAGACACUGGCCCCAAUUUAUCAGUCAGAAUAAAACCCUUAGCUUCUGUUCGGUGGCUGUGGAAGAGAGGCUCUCUUCCAUCAUCUGAGAUGCACAUUUGAGUCCUGGAACUACAGCAACAAUUAUCUUACCAUGAAAAAGCCUGCCUGAGAAUUAAAGCAACCCAUGGAAGACAGCAGAGCUGAGGGAGAUAGAAAAGAAGCCAGAAUCCUGAAAUCUACUCUAUAUCUGGGCUUGAGUCAAUAAUUGUCAUCUGUGUUUAGGCUGUUUUGACUUGCAAGAAAGCACAAAUGUUGUACUGUGCUUUGAUGGAGGUGAUGGUAGGCCAUCAGCAAGUACAUGUCCGGCACUUGUGUUACGGACAUGCAUCUAAAGUUCAGGACACCAACUGAGGAUGGGCUUGAGUAACAUGGAGGGAGAUGGUAGCAUGCCACACAGGAGCUGCUCAAUAUGUAAAUAUUAAUUGAGUGUGUUUUGAGUAAUCAGAAUGGGUUGGGACUUGCUGGGGGAAAAGAUAAGAUGGAGACUAGAGAUCUGAAGACUGAAAAGUCACUUAGGAUCGGGAGAAGUGGGAACUAGUGAAGGAGGCUCUGGAGUAGAUAGGAAGUGAGCUCUAAUAUUGCCACAUUGUUGUGCCUAAUGAGAGAAGAGAACUGGUGAACUACAAUGUCAAAUCCUUUAGAGACACCAAGAGAAUCAAUAGACAAGCUUGGUAAUUUGGAGGCUAUUGCUGACUGGGUGGAAUGCAUAAAAACCAACAGUAAGUGACUUUGAAUGUUGUUAGGUUUAUGAUAAAUAUGGUAUAAACAAAGUUUCCCAGAGACACUGGCCCAACAAAAUAUAGUCACAAUGACAGACACAAAAUGGAUUUUUUUUUUCUGGUCCUGCUUCUAUUUGCUCUGUAGAUAAAUCCAGAGGAUUAAAAAUUCUUCACACCUUUCUGGGGGACUCCAGAGUUUUUUUGUAUUCAUGACAAACCACUGAUUCCAAGUGGUAUCUGCCGUUUUCCUCCUCUCCUCAGCUGGCUCUCUGUGGGGACAGGUGAUGCUUACAAAGGUACACAGUAAAGCAGAGAGGUGACUCCUGGGAGGCUAGCCAGUCAACAGCUGUAGCCAGUCAAUGUCCGUAGCUUAUGGCAUUCAUCCUGGAAGUAUGACACCACCAUCAGGAUGUAGCUAGUCCCCAGCUCUGGAGCUCAGAAGUCUCCUUUCAUCAGCAUACCAAGACAGGGCUAUCCCUUUGGUGGGGCCUGGAUUAACCUAGCUCUCAGAGACUUGUCUCCUAUGGAUCCAUUUGUUAAAUUUUAGAGAGCAAUACAACCGUCAAGAGAUGAGAAUGCCUGGACUGGCAGAGGUUUGGUAAGCAAGGAAUCCAAACAUUAGGACUGAUUUGAUUCAAGAAGUGUCUCCUUGCUAAAACAGAUUGAGGUACUCUAGGGAUGGUGUUGCCUAGAAAUUCAAAAUGUUAGUGCUUAAGCAAAAUUUUUUUUUCUGUAGGCAACAGUUGCAUAAUUAUUUGCCAACAUUUUCUUCCUCUGGGACCCUGUUUUUUUCCCCUGCUUCUGUGGCUGAUCAUCUUCUAUUCAUGUGUUUUUUCUUCCAAAUUCAGGUCUGAUAUGCUUGAUUAGGAUUCUGCUUACGACCAAAUGCCCAUUCUGCCUCCUUGAGAUUUCUCUCAGUAACCUUGACUGGAAUUUUAAGUGUUCACAAACAUUCCCUUUAUACAUUUUUAAAGGCCAUGUUUGGUGUGUAUUCCCAUAGUUGAAAAGGUAUAUCCAGUGAUGUGGAUAUUUUCUAGUUCAAUCAUUCAUUCUAUAAACAUUCCUACUAUGUGUCAGGUACUGUGUUAGAUGCUGGAUAAUAAUUUAAGAUAGACACAAUCCUGUUCUUCUCAGCUUCUAAGAAUGAGUACUGAGAGAGAUUUCCCUCUAGUCCCUGGAUAUUGUGAUAGUUCCUGUUGCUGCUGGAGUCCCAAAUGGCAACGCCUCUGGGAGUACCCAUUGAUGUCUGUCAGUGUUGGUUGGUUCUCUUGUUGGUAAUUCCAUGGACCUAUGUCCCUGGCAGCCAGAGGGUGCUAGUGGGCAGCUGGGUCUGUCCCUAAGCCUGGGCUGAGGGCAGCCAGGGCUAUGAAAGCAUGCAUAAUGCAUACUGAGGGCACCAUCUUCUGAUGCUGCUGAGGCUGAUGUCUUCAGUGCUAACCACUCUGCUCCUCCAAACUUCUGGCUGUUCUAGCAUUUCUCAUUCUUACUGUAGCCCCUUUGUCUAGGACUCACUGUCCCCUAAUCCUACAACCAAAACGUACAUAUUGACUUUUUCUUCCCUUAGGAUGAGUUUUUUUUUUUUUGUCCUCUGGAAAGUAAUUAUUUUUCCUGCUGCAAAUAGAAUGUUGGCUUGCCUGCUUCACCAUUCCUUUACAUAUAUGGAGAUAUCCUAAACCCCUCAGUAAACACACCUCAGGGUCAAGUCAAUGCACCUGUAACAGAUUAAUUUAAUUCUAUUAAAUAUAUAUAUAUAUAUAUAUAUAUAUAUAUAUAUAUAUAUAUAUAUACACACACAUACAUACAUACAGAAAAUUAAUCCAGGGCCUAGCAAAGGACCUUGCAUAAUAAAAGGAAGGACAAGAGGGAGGUAAUGAAAAGGUGGAGGGAAAUAAGGAGGAGGAACAGAAUAAAGAAGGAAUUACUAGUGCACAAUUCAAAAUGUCUAGUAGUACAUAAUAAAUGCUUAAUAAUGAAAGAGGAGGAAUGGAUGAUAGUAAUGAUUUACAGUUUUCUAGAGAUUCUGAUACUUUUUAAGAGAAUAUAUGUUAUGUAAACAUGACAUCCAUUUUAGGAUGAAUGAAGAGAAACAAGGUUAUUAAUUGCCAAGAGACAAAAUGUAGCUGGAAUAUGUAACAAAAUAUUUAAAGCGAAAUCCUCAAAUACAUUUACAAAUUACUUUAUAUUUACAGGGAUAAAAAUGUCAUUUCUUCUGAAAUUUUAGAUGGCAAGUUUGAGCCAAAUUCAUAUUAGCCAUUUCCGGAAUCCAUGUGAGAGAAUAAUAGUACAGAAAUUGCUUAUCCAGAGUGUAAGGAGGCUGCAGCAUCAGCUGGAAAGUGAGUCUGUGACAGGCUUUUCACCUCAUUGAGAGGCAGAGCCACAUGCUGUGAGAUGCUGAGGCCCCUGCUGUGAAAUGGUGUACUGCACAUUUGCUGGGUUUGUUGUAUUGCUACGCUCUUUGCAUUUUGUGGUUCAGGCAAUAAGCAGCAGAAUAUGCGAAAUGAGGACAAGUAUAUUAAAGAUAUCUUGUAGCUUUUGGUUGCACAUAUUUAAACUGCUAGAAACAGUAGCUCCGGGUUCAUACUUUCUGUCCUUUAUAUGUGUUUAAUCAGUUAGAAAGCCUAUCUCUGCUUUGUAAAGCAAUAACUAGGAGGCUGAUCUUUAUGUUCAGAAAAAAAGGGACAUGUCAGAAACACUGUUAUCAGGAAUCUUAUGCAUAUGGAAUGGUGUGUAGUAGGUAGAAAGAGACAGAUCCAGAAAAGCUAUUUCUUCCUGAACGGAAAUGCUUACUAUAAGAUUAAUUGCAUGACCCUAAGCAGAGACCCUCUCAUCCAGCUAUAGGCAAAAGAGUUUCCAGAGAAAGUGACAUGUGUGAACUGCUUGUAUGAGCUCUAUCUCUGAAAGGAAGGGGCUUGGAUAUUUCCUACUAUAUCCUUCCCCUGCUUCAAGACUUUAAUCCAGAUGAAGUGACAUGAGAGUGACUCUGUCUGGUAGGAGACAGAAAUGAUUCUAUGACAAUAAUACAAAAUAUUAUAUUAGCCUUGUUUCCUCAUUCAGUGGUAAGUAGUAAAAAUUCAGCUUGCACUGUCUUAAACAAAGAAAAUAAAAUAUUGACUCCAGGGUAUAUGAUCAGGCAAAGCUGGAUCCUUCUACGCAGAGAUUGCUAUCAAGAACCUAACUUACUCCAUUAACUUGACUUGUUUUUUGCUUGGUGUUGGCUUUGUUUUUAGGGUCUUUCUGAACAGCUGAACACUUAUAAUCCACCCUCUUAGCAACACCAGCUGAAGUAUCUUUCUUUUCUACUACACAUCCAGAAACAGUUCUUAAGUUGAUGCUCAUUGGUCCAGAUUGGGACGUGUAUCCAUUCCCGAACCCAGCACCAUCACUCUGAUUAACAGAACCUGGGUCAUAUACCUUCUCUUUCCCCUCAAUCAGAUUAGUCUCAAACCCACCCACACCACUGGUCUGACAGUGAGAGAGGGAUGGCUCUAUGAACUCCGUGGGAAAAAAACAAAAGCACAAACAAAAUAAACCCAAAAACAAAAGAGAGAAAACUUAAGCAAGUGGAAGGACAUUCUAUAUUCUUGGAUAGAAUGGCUUAACCUCACAGAAAUGUCAAUUCUCAAGUUAAUAUAUAAAUUUAAGGCUUUCCCCCACUACCCUGCCAAACUGCCACUGAAUUUUUCCCCUGGAGCUAGACAAGUGGAAUCUAAAGGUAAUUUGGAAAAUAAACAAAAGAAGAACAACUAGGUAAAUGCUGGAAUAAAGAGUAAUGAAACAAACCAUGCUUUAUUGUCUCAUUAGUGUUUCUAAUAUUACUUGUUACAAACAAUAGAGCAUUCUUUACAUGUAUUCAUGUUCAUGUGUGCAAGCUUUUUCUCUGAGGUAUCUCUUUAGAAUGGGAAUUAGUAGAUUUAGGAUAUGUUCAUUUACUAAAUAGUUCUUUUUUAAUUUUAAAGGUUUAAAAACUUAAAUAUAAUGUGACUUAUGCAUAUUUCUGUGUAAAUAUUUUCCCAGUACAGUUUACAUAGUUAUUAAAAGUUCUGGGAAUGAUAGAACUCACCCCACAGAAUGAGAGUUAAUUGAGAGUUGAGUUUACUGAACGAUUAAUAUAAUUACACUACAGAAAAUCUAAAAGUAGCACACAUUGUGAUGUAAUUAACUGAACUUCUAGUAUCUUUUCAGUGGGCAAGUCUUGUAACUCUUGGUUAGCCUUUUUCUUUUUCUUUGAUCAUUUUGGUUCUCUGUGGCCCAUGAUUUCCAUUCUGGUCCUCCUCCCAUCUUUCUUGAAUUGAUCAGUCCCUUAUAUCAAACAUUUAAUUACUGGAAAAGAAUUCUCAGACUCUUUGAGUUUUUUUAAAAUCCACACAUGAAUGAGUUUUCUGUUUCAAACAUGUAACACAGUGCUUGGCUAAUAAAAGACCUUCUGUUCAACUAAAGUGUUCAUCAAUUAUAGUUUAUAGCUCCAACCACCCCUGACCUUAUUUGCAUAGCACCAUGCAAAGUUCCAUACUGGAACUUCCAAUGAUGUUUGAAAAUAAUAUUGCCAAAUGGUUCCAAUAAAAAUACUAGGAUCACUUGAGAAAAAAGUAUUAACCACAAACCAAAAAUACACAUGCCAUGGGGAGCAGUUUGUUGAUGACAAUCUAUUUUACAUCUUAUGCUUUACAUUGGAUCAUUUCUAACCAAAUGUUCAUUUUUUCAAGAAAAUACUAUGUUUUCAAACAAGUGAAUUAUAUAUCCCAAAAAAGAAAGAUUUUUGGGGUCAACAUGUACUGUGCUGUAUUAAUUGGUCCAUAUAUUUACCAUGAAGAGUACUGAUUUUGUCAAGAAACUUCUCUGAAGUUCAUUUCAGAGUAUUUUUCUGAGAAUUUUGCAAACCAGGGUAGCAUUUUAUAGCUGAAUUUUAAUUUUCACAUUAUAUGUGUAUUACCUAUUAUUGUGUAAUCAAUUGCCCCAGCAUUUUUGUGUCUGUAAAUAACAAUAAGCACUUAUGGUCUGACAUAGCAUUUAUUAUUUUUGUGGAUCAGGUAUGUGGCCUGGCUGGGUGGUUCUGGCACAGUGUUUCUCCUGAGGUUGAGUCAGUUGUUCAUUAGGGCAGCAGCCAUGUGAAGGUUUAACUGGGGCUGGAUGAUCCACUUGCAGAGUGGCUCGCUUACAUAGCUGGCAUGUGGCUCCUUGCCAUAUGGGCCUUUCCAUAAAACAGCUUGAGUAAUGGUCUCAUGCAGGAGCAUGAUUCCCUAUGGCAAGCGUAACAGAAUUUCCACGUGGAAUUGUUCAAAUAUCACCUCCUGUUUUGAGACUCUGAUAGACUACUUCAUUGUACUGAUAGGUAUGACAUGGGAAAAAAUUAGAACUAAUAAUGUAUGUAAUGAAAGGAAUUACUUGUAUGUCAUGAUUUUCUGAAAUCAAAGUCACUGGCAUUAUGUUGGCCAAUUUUUGGAUUUUAUCUCAAAGCCAUAUUUAUGACAAUCCAGUGAAGUGAGUUUUAUUUUCUCCAAUUUGCAGAUCAGAAAACUGAGAAAAUGUCUGCUCAGGUAAUUGUUCCAUGAAGCUUAAAUUUGAAUUUAGGCUGUUGACUCUGAAGCUUUCACUCCUAAAAUUAUAUCAGACUAUACUGUCUCAUCUAUAGCUUUUAUUUACAAAACAGAAAGCUCCAUUUUAUUAGGAGAAUUUUGAAUAUACAAUAACAAGUAGACAGAGUAAUUUUAUGAAUCAAUAUGUACUCAACACCCAGCUGCACUAUCAAUACUUAGCCAUUAAUAUCUCUUCUAUGUUUUUCUCUCCUUAUUUAUUUUGAAGGAAAUCUCAGACAUCAUUUAAUUUUAUCUAUAAGUAAGUACUUCAGCAUGAGUAUCAAAAAAGAUAAGUGCUUUUAAAAACAUCGAUGAUAUCAGGCCAAAAAAAUUAACACAAAUCUUUUAUCAUCAUCAGAUAUUCAGUCAAUGUUCAAAUUUCCAAUGUUCCAUAAAUGUUUUUCUUUGAAAUUUUAAAAUUUGAAUCAUGAUUCAAAUAAUGUCCACACAAUGUAAUUGAUUGGUAUAUAUUUUAAUUUUAUUUUAAUCUAUAUGUUUCCCUCUGUUUUUGAUAAUCAAUAAACAUGUAUUUUCAGAAUUUGCUUAUUAUGAAGAAAGCUGCAAUAGAUCUUGUAAUUGUUUUUCUGGGAACUGAUGCUUCAUGUCUUCAUACAUUUUUUAUUGCAGUGGUUUUUAAAUACUGAUUUAUGAGUUCUUUAAAUGUUAAAGAAAUUACCUCAUUUUCUGAUGUGUGUGUUACAAAUAUCUUUCUCCAAUUUGUUGUUUGUCUUUUAACUUUUUUGUGGUAUUUCUUCUUCUACAAAAGUUUAAAAUUUGUAUGUGGUCAAAAUUUCAGUAUUUUCUAUUAUAAUUUUGGGUUUAACAUCUUGGAAAGGCCCUCUCCAUGCCAUACUUUGAUAUGAUUCUAGCAGUCUUUAAUAGAUUCCCCUCACCCCCACACAAACUUGGUAUGAGAAAAUUUUCUAGGCUUAUCUUAUGUAUUUCUGCCCUAGACUUGGACUCAGAUAUUCUUCAAGGAUGCUACUGCAAACUCAGAGGGGUUCAGUGAGAUAUUUAAAUUUUUGAGCAAUACUCAAUAUCUAUUGACAGGCAAUGAACUACUGGCACAAGGUAGUUCCCAUUUCAACAUUAGGUGGCACUUUAAUAUUUUCAGUGAUGGCAUGUAUUUGCAGCAUUAGGUGUUUGUGGUUACUGGGAUAAAAGCCAAGUGCCUCCGGAAAUCACUGUAGAACAGAAAAGGUGGUGUGUCCAAUUUGAUUCUAAGGUUUGAGAAGCUGUGCAGUUCCCAACAGGUGCAUAUAUCCUAUUGGUAAGCGUGUGUCAUUGUUAAAGAAGAAAAUAAGUUUUUUUUUCCAAUUUAUGUGCAUUAUUUUUUAAAUGGCUACUCAGUUGUUAGGAAGUGGGUAUUUAACAAGUUAUUUGAACUUAACUCCUUAAUAAAUGAAACUGUUGAGUAUUUUAAAACUUUUUGUCUAGGGGCGCUGUGAAAAAACACCAAGACACCAAGACAAACCGAGACACCAAGAACGUUAUAAACUAUGAAAGUCUGGGAGCCUCUGGAUAAGACUCUGCUUGUUUUUGUCUGCAUGCAGCUGAGUCAGAGCUCUCUUCCAAGUGUCACCACUGCCAUUUUCUAAUUUACUCCUGCUUGCCUUAUUAGCGUCAUCUUUGAUCCAGGUUUGCUUUGUGGCAACUCCUUUAACUCACUUGCCCAACAUUUGAGGGUUCAUUUAGCUAAAACGACAAGAUGAUACAGUGGAACGUGGUUGGAGUGCUAGUCAGGUAAAACCUUAGGUUUUAUCCAUUCGUUUGAGACUCGAGCUCGCUUUCUGUGAUGGUUGACAUAUGGUGCUGCAUUAAUUUCCAGGGGCCGAUUUCCUUACUGAAUAGCCACGUCAGCAAAUUUCAGACCAACCUGGCUGCUCUAUCAGGCACAGAUUAAUGACAAUAUAAUACAAUAUGCCGGAGGCAAACGAACAACCCGGGCACCACUGCCGACCUCUUGAUUCUCCCACCUUCCCUCAAGACACUAGGAAUUUAAUGUGCUUAUGGCUACUGGACAGACAGAACGAGGCAGGGUGCUGGGGCGAAUUGGUACACGAAAUACUAGUGAAGUUUAUCUACUUUAUUAUUUUUCUUUAGAUAGAAUAGAAUUAGAAAUAAUAAUGUGGCUGGGUGCGGUGGCUCACGCCUGUAAUCCCAGCACUUUGGGAGGCCGAGGCGGGUGGAUCACGAGGUCGGGAGUUUGAGACCAGCCGAGAUCAAGCCACUGCACUCCAGCCUGGGCAGCAGAGUGAGACUCUUGUCUCGAAAAUAAAAUAAAAUAAAAUAAAUAAUAGAAUUAGAAACAAUCAAAAUAUAGUUUUUAUCGUAUUUUUUUUAGAACGCCUGCACUGUGUGCCCCCUCUUUGGAGACCACUACUCCAGGGCACUUAGUUCCUGAAAGGUCACGUUUUUGUUGCUACAGCUUUUCCUGAGAUAAACCAAUGAAGCCAUUUAUUGGCUGUCACGCCCUUCAGCAAGUAAGCCAUGGCCAGGUUUGCCUCAUCUCCUGACUCCAAGUGUGAUACAAGAAGCUCUACCUGGCUGCUUUGUUUAGAGACAAGUUAGGUCUGCUAGGCCUGCGUUUACGAGUUUUUAUAAAACUUCCAGCAGCAUAUUCUGUGUGGCAGAACACAUUCUGGAGCUAUUAGGGUGGGUUUGUUGACCUGGGUUUGCUCCAACUUCCUACACUCUGCUCCUUCCCCCUCCACUCCCUCACCCAGCCAAAGCCCUUCAAGAUAUUCAUUUGCCCUGGGCAUGGCCACACACAGAAGAGUAAGGAAAGAAGAAAAAGUUAUUUACUUUUCUAAAUACAUUGAAAAAUCUAUGGUAGAACUACAUCUUGAAAGCCAGGUGCUUUUGGUUUGCAAGAGCUUUUUGAGAGAAAAAAAGAUUUUUUUUUUUUGAAUUCCAUAAUCUUCACUUUAAGCAUCAAGCAUCAAAGGAAAUCUUCGGUAAAGCUGAUCCAUUAAUCACAAAUGUGAGAUAAUAUUACCACCCACCCCUACCUCCCCCAGGCAGAGAUAUAAAAUCCCUUUCUGCAUGGAAGAUGAGGAAAAGAAACUUCCAGAAUUCAUUAUGUACCAACUCUCCAUGGUUCAAGACAGCAAGGGUGAUCACAAUCCUACAUAAAGAUCCUAUAGAAGAUCCCACAGAAAAAAUUUGCAUGUGACUCCUUUUCAAGUGCAGCCCAAGGAGACUGUCAGCUUCUCUGUGAAUCCACUGGCUGGCUAAGGGCUGCUGUGGUGGCUCGGCAGUGAGUCCUUUGCAAGCAAAUGGGCUUGCAGGCAGCUUCCUGCGUUUAGGCAGCAGAGAAUUCCUGGUCUCUGAGAUGGUGUUGGGAGUUGGGGCAGAGAGUGAGAAAAUCCAAAAGGACAACACAACAGGGAUGAGGAGGCUGCAAAGUGUACAGACUAUUCAACUGGAAAUCAUAAUGAGUGCACAGGUAUUUCUUGUUAUUUAUUUCCUCUUGCCUUAUGACUAUCACGUCUGACAACUAUGGACCAGGUACCCUUUCCCCUGUUGCCAUGACUCUACAUAUGUCCAAGUAGAACAAAAAUGCAGCCCCCAGGGAAGAGGGAGGAAGGCCCAGGACCUUGAAAUGACUGAAUUGAGAUCCUGAAAUGACCAAGAGGGAAUAAACUUAUUCAACGUGCAUUUUUGAGUUUCUACAAAGGGCAGGCAUUGUUCUAGGAACUGAGGAUACAGAAAUGAACACAAGAGGAAAAAUUUUGCUUUUAGCAGCUUACAUUUUCAAGGGGAAUCCUAGACAAUAAAAAGACAAAUGAGCAAAAUAUACAGCAUGUUUGAUGGUUUGCUGUGCAAAAGAUUAAAUCAAGGAAAUAAAAUAAGUUGACUAGUAGAAUGGGGUCACAUCAAAGCAAUACAGGUGCCAACCUGAAAGAUCUGGAACAAUUUGAGUAAUAAAAUAGAUAACAUAGUAUUGGAUUUUAACCCUGUAUAGGAUAAAACUCUCUCAAACCAUGUUUUUCCUCUGCUGGCAUAACACCACAGCAAUCAACACAGAAGUCUUCUAUGACCAAAUUUGGGGGGGAAUUUUCCCCACAUGCCAAGCAGCAGAUGCCAGCUGGGUGUCCUCCAAUUCAGUUCUGACACUAUCUCCAUCUAUCUGGAGACAGUAUCCUAUCUCACAGGUUGAAGGCUCAGUCCCUAAGACUGUUCCCCACCCCCUACUGCAAACACCAGUUACAAGUCCAGGCCUCUGGAACUUCUGACCAGCUGGUUUCAAGUUGGGGUUCCCAUGACUCCUGUUUGGGUUUGAUUAAUUUGCUGGAGUGGCUCAGAGAACUCAGGGAAACACUUACUUAUGUUUUCUGCUUUAUUAAGAAGGAUAUUUUAAAGGAUACGAAUAAAUAGUCAGAUGAAGAGAUACAUAGGGUAAGGUCAAAGGGGUCCCAAGUGCAGGAGCUUCUGUCCCUGUGGAGUUGGGGUACACCACCCUCCCAGCUCAUGGACGAGUUAUUCUUCAUCUUCCUGUGAGCCUUUAUGUGUUCAGCUCUCUGGAGGCUCCCCGAAACCUGUCUUUUCAUGGACAACCUUGUUGAAACAUGGCUGGCCAAAAAGUGCAUUUUCUAAACACAAUGAGGCUUGUCUGUUCGGAUUCCUUGUGGUCUGUCUGUGAGACUUUCCUUCCUUGAGAGUACAAAGCAGGGACCCUGUCUGGAAUGAGGGUCUUAUGACCCACAAUCAGAUUAGAGUUCUACCUUGGGCAGGUGAAAGUAGGGCAGAAGAAGGUCAGAGAGAAAGAUUUUGUCUCCUGAGGCCUGCUUCUGAGGCCUAAAGUGCCCCAACAUUAUAACAAAGGACUGUAACAAAGGUUAUGGGAGUUAUGAACUAGGAACCGUGGAGGAAAAUCUGGGUGUGUGUGUGUGUGUGUGUGUGUGUGUGUGUGUGUGUGUAUGUGUGUGUAUAAUCAUAAUAUCAAAAACCCAAAGUAUAAAAUAAACAUAUGUGGUAUAUACUGAUAGAAAUAAAUAGUGAUGAAUAAAUAAAUAAAUAGAGACAAAUCUUACCUACAAAAGACUUCCAUUUAGUAUAUGUUACAUACUCUCCCCCUCCAGGAAGUAGAACUCCUUCUUCUUUGAAUGUAGGCUAGACUUAGUGAGUAGUUCCAAAUUAACAGACUAUGGAAAGGGGGAAAUGUAAUUUUAUAAUGGAGAAACCUGGCAAACACUACCUUAGCCAAAUGAUGAAGGUUAUGUGGUUAGAGGUCAGGUCGAUAUCACAUAUCCUCUGAUAAGGUGAAAUGAGAGGGCAUUUCUCUCCACCUUUCUUUCCAAAAAUGUAUAAUCCCAGUCUAGUUCUGAAAAAUAUCAGACAAACCAAGACUGGGGGACAUUAUACAGGAUACCUGGCCAGUACUCCUCAAGACUAUCAAGGUCAUGAAAAAGAAAUAGCAGGAAACUGUCAUAGACCAGAGGAGACAAGGAAGACAAGCCAUGACAUGACCAGUAAAUGAAAUGUGAUACCUUGGAUUGAAUCCUGACACAGAAAGAGAAUAUUAAUGGAAAAACUGGUAAAAUUCAAAUAAAUCUGGGGAUUUGUUAAUAAUGUAUCAAUAUUGGUGUUUUUUUGUUUUGUUUUGUUGUUUUUUUAGCUCUGACAAAUGUACUGUGGUAAUGUAAGAUAUUAAUGAUGAGUGAGGGGUAUACUGAAACUCUCUGUAUUAUCUUUCCAACUUUACUGCAAGUCUAAAAUUAUUCUAAAAUAAAAAAAACUUUAUUUAAUUAAAACAAGACACUAGGAGAAAGAAUCCCUUCUCACUUAGAAAAGGCCUUCCCAAGAUUCUCAAUAUUGGUUGGAGCUCUGAAGUCAUCAAAGAUGUACAUUAUGGCUGAAAAUAUAACCUUGGACAGCACACCAAUGUGAAAUAGGUAACCACUGCUAAUAUCAGUUGCCUUGGUUACAAGGGACUUGCCUCUUACAAGCAAAAAAGUCAAGUGGAUUCAAGCUUGACUUUGCUACAUGUGAACUACAAAAACGAGAACACCAGUCCUCCCCAGGGAAUAAUAGAAUAAUACAGCACAGACCUACAGGGCCUGGGAGGCUGGGGAGGAACAAGGGAUAUACAUGGGGCUACAUAAAACUACUUGCCACUUUCCACAUCUUCCUGUAUGAUUAUGUGUUUUCCUUGCUGUGGGCCUAUUUUUUCAAAACUAGAAUUUGAGUUUAAACAUAUUCGAAAUGAUUUAUCUUCUAUCUUGAACAUGUGCUACCAAUAUUGUUAUAAUAGGUUAUACUCAUUAAUUUAUCAUUUCUUUUAUGUAUAAAAUGUUUCUAUUCAUUAAAAUAACAAUAAAAAACCAUAAUAAAA